rnacentral:rRNA from 1 species
GUGAUUGCUCUCUGAGCGUUAACUAUAUCCAUCUACACCUGUGAACUGUUGAUUGACUUCGGUCAAUUACUUUUACAAACAUUGUGUAAUGAACGUCAUGUUAUUAUAACAAAAAUAACUUUCAACAACGGAUCUCUUGGCUCUCGCAUCGAUGAAGAACGCAGCGAAAUGCGAUAAGUAAUGUGAAUUGCAGAAUUCAGUGAAUCAUCGAAUCUUUGAACGCAACUUGCGCUCUCUGGUAUUCCGGAGAGCAUGCCUGUUUGAGUAUCAUGAAAUCUCAACCAUUAGGGUUUCUUAAUGGCUUGGAAUUGGGUGUUGCCAGUCGCCUGGCUCGCCUUAAAAGAGUUAGCGUGUUUAACUUGUCUAUCUGGCGUAAUAAGUUUCGCUGGUGUCGGCUUGAGAAGUACGCUUCUAAUCGUCUUCGGACAAUUCUUGAACUCUGGUCUCAAAUCAGGUAGGGCUACCCGCUGAACUUAAGCAUAUCAAUAAGGCGGAGGAA